rnacentral:lncRNA from 1 species
GGUGGCACUGGUUCUAAUCCCAAUCAUUUGUCUGCUUGUGGACAUUUAUUUGGGAACAAAAUUAUCCUAUUUUGGUUUUAACUAGGUAGAAGUGGAAAUCGGCUGUUUUGAUAGAAAUCCUUUUUAUUCUGGAAUAUGAAUAAAGCCACGUGUGUAAGGAAUAUGAUGUUUAAAUAUGUUUGUCUGCAUUCGCACAAAUUUGUUACUAGGCUAGAUAGAAGUUGCCUCUGUUUGGCAAAGGAUGAUAGAUUUUUAUAGACAUAACCUGGCUGCAAAACAGCAGAGCUGUGUUCACAGGCAGGAAUGAGCUGCAGUUGCAAGCACUGGUGUAAGCCCUCUUUAACCGUUUGUGGAGUGGAGUCAUGCAGGCUACUAGUGGAUGUCUGGCCUUUGAGCUAAUGCAUUUGAUUUCACACUGCAGUGGCUGAGGAGUGUUCACAGGGUAACUCCACUGUAGGACCAGUGUUCAUAAUCACAAGGGAAGUAAAACCACCGGGGAAAUUAGUAUAUUAAGCAGUGCCAAACUUCUGCAAAGUGGGUACAUGUUUAGCCUUCGUUUCUUCCGCCAUGGCUUAUACUGCCCUUGAAUUUGGCCACUUAAUAUUUCAGUUCUAGAUCCUUGAGUUCAACACUGAAGUAGACUGGGGUUUUUUGUAUGUAUGUAUGCAUUUUUCUAAGAGAUUACAUGAGGUGAACUAUAAAGGAAUCUAAGGUUUUUCUAUAUCCCUUGAAUUGUCCAUUUAAAAGCCUUUAAAUACUUUGGUAUUUAACUUCAUGCUCCUUGAUGCUGUCUAGAAGCUUAAUAAAUUCUUGUCUGUUAACAUAAUGAAUAAAGGAAAGUGCUCUUCUGUUACCUCUGUGUACCUACCAUUUAUAGCAGGUCCAAUCAGUAAUGUUACUUAUGGGAUUAUACUGAGCAGGAAGCAGCUGCUGUAUCUCUGGACUGCAGUGGCUUUUCUAAGAAGUUCAUUUAAAAUUCACUUCUGACAAGCGCUGCUGGUGGGUUCAGAGGAGCUGCUGUGCGGUCAUUGUGAGCCACACCACCUCAGGUCGUUUGAGAGCCGUUUUUCAAGGGGUGUUGAAGUCGCUCCCUGAAUGUGCUCACUCUUUGACUCUUUGGCCUUGAAAAGCAGUUAGCAAGGUCUGUGGGAGAAUAAUUAAAGCUGAUCAGUCCUGUCUGUAAUCCAGAGCACUGUCAUUCUGGCAGCAGCUGGUGCUUUGGCUUUGAGUGAAGGAAUCUGUUGUACUUUUCUGUGUUUGCCUUACACAAGUAGGCAAUGUCCCUUUCAGUUAAUUAUUAAGUAAGAUUGUUAAAUUGUGUUAGAAAAUGCAAACCAUUCUUUCAAAACUUGUUGCCUUUAAGUAGAAGCAGUAUUUAUCCUCCAAAAGCUUCCUGAAGUGGUCGUGGCAGCAGCAGAAUUUUAAUGCACCUUCUCUCAUUCAUCAUUUGAAGUCUAAAACAACAAGUGAUGAAUCUUUGAUGAACCUUGUCAAGCUUCCUUCAGAUUGUAAUAGCAGUUUUAUAGGCUUCAAAAGUUCAGAAACAAUUUGUUAUGACUGUAUCUACUUCUUUUCUCUGUCAGCACUCAGCACAGUGCUGAGCACUGAUCCAUCACCGGAUUAGAAAGUCUUGUCCCUGUGUUUCUGGUGUAAACAAAAAGCUAUGUAGCAAACAUUAGAAGGAUGUUUUCCAGAGAAAUCCCAAUAAAAGCUGCCAGACUACAA